rnacentral:rRNA from 1 species
AAUGAACGCUGGCGGCGCGCCUAAUACAUGCAAGUCGAGCGAGAAGACGUAGCAAUACGUUUGUAAAGCGGCGAACGGGUGAGGAAUACAUGGGUAACCUACCCUCGAGUGGGGAAUAACUAGCCGAAAGGUUAGCUAAUACCGCGUACGCUCCUUGGACUUCGGUUCAGGGAGGAAAGCGAUACCGUGGGUAUCGCGCUCUUGGAUGGGCUCAUGUCCUAUCAGCUUGUUGGGAGGUAACGGCUCACCAAGGCUUCGACGGGUAGCUGGUCUGAGAGGACGAUCAGCCACACUGGCACUGCGACACGGGCCAGACUCCUACGGGAGGCAGCAGUAAGGAAUAUUGCGCAAUGGGCGAAAGCCUGACGCAGCGACGCCGCGUGGGGGA